ensembl:lncRNA novel transcript
CUCACUCUCCCUCCUUCUCUGCCAUGUUCACUCAGGGUACAUCCAAUGAGGACAUGGAUGACGAAAAUGCAACAUUGCUGACAGAGUUUGUUCUCACAGGACUUACAUAUCAAUCAGAGUGGAAAAUACCCCUGUUCCUGGCAUUCUUGGUCUGUACAGACUUUUCAUUUCUUCAUGACUCACUCUUGGGGAUCAUCCGGGCCAGAGUGAAUGUGAAUGGAAGAGCAGUGCCUUCUUGUGGUCACCAUGGUUUGGGCAGCAGUUGUGACUACUUCCCCAAGGGGAAAACAAGUAUCUGGGAAAAGGUUUGGGGGUUAUAAGGCCCAUGACUCCUUUCACAUGGAGAUUUGCUCUCUACUGCAAAAUUAAAAGUGUUAUUAUGGAAAAUGAAA